rnacentral:rRNA from 1 species
AUUGAACGCUGGCAGCAUGCCUUACACAUGCAAGUCGAACGGUAACAGGUCUUCGGAUGCUGACGAGUGGCGCACGGGUGAGUAAUACAUCGGAACGUGCCCGAUCGUGGGGGAUAACGAGGCGAAAGCUUUGCUAAUACCGCAUACGAUCUACGGAUGAAAGCGGGCGAUCUUCGGACCUCGCGCGGACGGAGCGGCCGAUGGCAGAUUAGGUAGUUGGUGGGAUAAAAGCUUACCAAGCCGACGAUCUGUAGCUGGUCUGAGAGGAUGAUCAGCCACACUGGGACUGAGACACGGCCCAGACUCCUACGGGAGGCAGCAGUGGGGAAUUUUGGACAAAGGGCGAAAGCCUGAUCCAGCCAUGCCGCGUGCAGGAUGAAGGCCUUCGGGUUGUAAACUGCUUUUGUACGGAACGAAAAGCCUCUUUCUAAUAAAGAGGGGUCAUGACGGUACCGUAAGAAUAAGCACCGGCUAACUACGUG